UUUUAUGUAACCAUAACAUCAGAUCAUAAGAAACAUUUUCAUUAACCUGCAUGGAUUAUCAUGAUAGUUAAAAAUCUAUAUUUAGAGAAAGAAGGCCCUCAUUUAGGGAUGCACCAGAAAAGCCUAAUUUUGGGACAAAGGGAUUACUUGUAAUUCUAGCUCUAAUUAUAAUUAUUAUAGAAUUGAUCAAUUAAUUAUAAAUAAAUCUAAGUAACAUGCAGCAUACCUACUGCUACACUAACUGAAAGUAUGAGAACAAUUGCCAGGAAGAUAGUGGGUGUGUGCCACGUGUACACCUUUCCAGUGCAGUCUUACGAGUGUUGCUGAAAAUUCCUGUUUGAUGAGCUGUUGACUAAUUUAUAACUAUUACCGGACUUGGUAUAUUCCAAACUCGAGCUCGCCAUCUUAGAAAAAAAUUAAAUGUGAUAGUAUAGGUAGUAUAUAUAUAUAUAAAGACCUCUGAUCCAUUCAAAAACUCAUGUAUAACAACUACUUACUACUAGUAGAGAGAGAGAGAGAGAGAGAGAGAAUAGCCAUGAAUACUCUAGUAAGAAACAUGAGCACUUUGCGCUUUAGCCGCAGGUUUGAUCAUGGAUUCUUGUACGGGGCAGUUGAUGAGAAAAUCGGUGAAGAUAAUAAUUGUGGGAGAAUUAGUACUAGUAGUUCAAGGAGAAAGGUAAUGAAUAAUCAAGGGUUGAGAAGUUGUUUUAGCUAUAGGCGCGACAGGGCUAAGAAAAGGCAAAUUUUCCUCCAAAGUUACAAGUUAGGAUCAGAUAUGCAAGUCUCGGAAGCUUAAGAAGGCUGCUAAUAAAGUAAAAUCCGUUGCAGUUUCAGUUGUAUCUUUCACCAGGAUAAGCUCAAUUAUUAGAUCUUAUAACUCCAUCCGUGCAUUUCGACCUUUUUUUUUGGAUUAAUUUAUUCAGUUUCGAGUACGUAAUUUGGUAGUGAAAUAGAAUGGGAAAGUGUGAAUGUGCUGUAUGAUUAAGGUGGUGUUCUGUUUCAUUUUUUUAGACUAGUGAAUGUAAAGAAACAAGAAAAAGAAAAAAAUGUAAUGUUAGAUGACGGAAUGUUUCCAGGAUUUCAAAUCUUGGUUGUAGUUUUCAGAAUGUUCAUCUCACUAUAAUUGAUUGCCAGUAAUGUAUUAUUAUUAUUAUUAUUAUGGCAAGAGACCAAAACAUUUAUUGAUAAUUGCCCAUGUG
rnacentral:lncRNA from 1 species